GACACCUGCCCGGUGCUGGAAGAUUAAUAGGAAAAGUUUGCGCUUUGAAUGAAAGUCCCAGUAAACGGCGGCCGUAACUCUGACGGUCCUAAGGUAGCGAAAUUCCUUGUCGGGUAAGUUCCGACCUGCAUGAAUGGUG
rnacentral:ncRNA from 1 species